AGGACUCUAACAAAUGCGUCAACUAACGAUGGCAUCCACUCAAGCACUGGAGUCCUGCCAUGGAAAUCAUCCAGCUUCAGAGAAACAAGACUCGGCAUAGCGAUACAGCUAGAUGAGAUCUUGGCACAGUCAAAUUUGCAUGACUCAAACACUAGAUGCUCCAAUGCUGGACAGCUCGAGAAGUUAAGAAAGCUGUCGUUUAGGCCUAUGUUCUUAAGCUGUAGCCUCGUCAAGUGUCGGGAGACAAGUGGCAUCUCAUCUAUCAGAAACGGGAAGCGAUACCAUAUAUCGACAUCGAGCAAGAGGAACCGAACCUUGUGGAGCAAAGCAUGCCUGAACCAGUGGUUCACCCGUACUGUAUCAUCGAGGCCCUCGUCUCUGUACCAAUCGAGCCAACGGAACCUUAGCACGCACGUGUCGAGAGGUGCGCCAUCACGGAGUAGCAGCAGACGGUCGAGAAACUCCUUAUUGUCCUUCACGCAGCGCAGAUAG
rnacentral:lncRNA from 1 species